rnacentral:rRNA from 1 species
GGGUGAGUAACGCGUGGGAAUCUGCCCUCAGGAGGGGGAUAACGGCUGGAAACGGCCGCUAAUACCCCAUAUGCCGAGAGGUGAAAUGAAUUUCGCCUGAGGAUGAGCCCGCGUCUGAUUAGCUAGUUGGUGAGGUAAGAGCUCACCAAGGCAUCGAUCAGUAGCUGGUCUGAGAGGAUGAUCAGCCACACUGGGACUGAGACACGGCCCAGACUCCUACGGGAGGCAGCAGUGGGGAAUUUUCCGCAAUGGGCGAAAGCCUGACGGAGCAACGCCGCGUGAGGGAUGAAGGCCUCUGGGCUGUAAACCUCUUUUCUCAAGGAAGAAGAUCUGACGGUACUUGA